UAAGUAGGCCGGAUGGUCGCAGCAGACACGUGUCUGAUGAGGAAAGUCCGGGCUUCAUAGGGCAGGAUGCCGGAUAACGUCCGGUGGAGGCGACUCCAAGGCCAGUGCAACAGAAAUAUACCGCUGUUUCGCUCGCGAAGCAGUAAGGGUGGAAGGGCAGUGUAAGAGACUACCGCCCUGUUGGUAACAACAGGGGCACAUGUAAACCCCAUCCGAAGCAAGACCAAAACGAAAGCGAUAAGUCUGCCCGGCUUGCUUUCAGGUAGGUCGCUCGAGGCUGUUGGUAACAGCAGUCCUAGAUAGAUGACCAUCCACGACAUAACCCGGCUUACAGGCCUGCUUAUUAU
rnacentral:RNase_P_RNA from 1 species